AUGAACACGGACUCGGAGACCAUCAACACCGCGUGCAAAGAUAUUAUGCAGAAAAAUUCAAAGAACAGACGCCAUCAGAUCAAGAAGAAGUAUUUUGAAACUGUAGCCGCAAACAAAGUCAGCAUUAAGUCCCCGGUACCAGAUCUGACGUAUGGUGAAUGGCAAGCUCUGGUGGAGAUGUGGUCUACCCCAAGACACAAGGAAACCUGUGUGUCGAACAAGAUGAAUCGAGAAAAAGUCGUGUACAAUCAGAGAACUGGUUCCAGGCACUACACAGCACACAUUUUUGCCAGUAAAGAAGAGCGUAAGGGUGAGGAGCUGUCUGCGAUUGACUUGUUUAAGGCCACCCACAACAGCAAGAAGCACGGGUUUUCGGAGCCAGUCAAGACUGCUAUA
rnacentral:rRNA from 1 species